UACAAUAUUAUAAUUAUGAGUAACUAAAGUAUAUAUUACCUUAGUUUAAAAGGGAAGACAGGUGUAAAUCCUGCGCGGUCCCGCCGCUGUAAAAGAAGAGUCCUUAUAUAAAAUGCCACUGGGAAACCGGGAAGGCGCAAUGGGGACAAUGAUGCUUAAGCCAGAAUACCUUUCCAUAAUUACACACAAUA
rnacentral:ncRNA from 2 species